rnacentral:rRNA from 1 species
UACGUAGGGUGCAAGCGUUGUCCGGAAUUAUUGGGCGUAAAGAGCUCGUAGGCGGUUUGUCGCGUCUGCCGUGGAAAGUCCGGGGCUCAACUCCGGAUCUGCGGUGGGUACGGGCAGACUAGAGUGAUGUAGGGGAGACUGGAAUUCCUGGUGUAGCGGUGAAAUGCGCAGAUAUCAGGAGGAACACCGAUGGCGAAGGCAGGUCUCUGGGCAUUAACUGACGCUGAGGAGCGAAAGCAUGGGGAGCGAACAGG